GUCGUUAGCUCAGUUGGUAGAGCAGUUGACUUUUAAUCAAUUGGUCGCAGGUUCGAAUCCUGCACGAC
rnacentral:tRNA from 21 species